rnacentral:rRNA from 1 species
UCUUUUCUUUUGUCUGGCGACCGGCGCACGGGUGAGUAACACGUAUCCAACCUCCCCUUUACUCGGGGACGUCCUUUACGAAAGAAAGAUUAAUACCCGAUAGCAUAAUGAUUCCGCAUGGUUUCAUUAUUAAAGGAUUCCGGUAAAGGAUGGGGAUGCGUUCCAUUAGGUUGUUGGUGAGGUAACGGCCCACCAAGCCUUCGAUGGAUAGGGGUUCUGAGAGGAAGGUCCCCCACAUUGGAACUGAGACACGGUCCAA